UUCUAACUUUCACGUAUACUGUUCAAAGUCACUUUAAAAGCUGUAGGAAUUGUGUUUACGCCCAAUUUAAGUCAAUAGGUACACUUUUAAUCCAAUUUUCACAAAGUUUGUACACAAAACUUUUUACGUAAACAAGUUCGUACGUUUUGACAGCUUUGACACUUCGACCACGACACUAUUGACAGUGACAGUUCUAUAGGCGGCAAAAUUGUCUAUCGACCAAUAGGAAAAUGGUAUCGCCUACUGUGCACUUAACACUCGCAAAAUGGUAUCGUCCAGUUUUUCUCAACUGUAUUUUCGCUAAAAAACGAUAUAAUACACGUUGCACCAAAGAAAAAACUUGAUUUUCGAGUCCGGGGAUAUCAGGCAGACGCGAUUUAACACUAAAUCCAGCGAAAUAACUGCGCUGACACGAAAACUCAUUCACGGCUAUCAGAGUUCACUUUUCACAUUCGGGCGUCACGUUGGGCAGCCACUUUUAUAGGGAUCUUGAAAGGGCCCGAAUUAAAAGUCCAGAAAACCUGUGAACGAGUUUACUCCACUCUUACUUGACGAUUAUC